rnacentral:SRP_RNA from 1 species
CCGUGCUAGACGGGGAGCCAGCGGUGCCCUGUAACCCGCAAUCCGCUAUAGCGGGGUUGAAUGCCUUUUUCGGCCUUUGCGUGGAAGCAAGCGCCAUAUUUAGGGUGCUGAAAUCAAGGUCUUAUGCAAUCGUUAACUGUGAAUCGUGUCAGAGCCUGACCGCAGCAGCACUAAGCGGACCUAAAGAUGUGCCAUGAGGUUGCUUUGAUGGAGCCUAAAAUAUGGUUUACUACUUUCAUCCGAUUGUCAACAAAGGAUGCACGG